CCAAUAGCGUAUAUUAAAGUUGUUGCAGUUAAAAAGCUCGUAGUUGAACUUCGGGGUUUACCCAUUGGUCAGGCUUAAUUGUCUGUACUGGUGAGAUAAAUCUCUACCUUCUGAGGAACUUUCAUGUCAUUAAUUUGGUGUGAUUGGAAAUCAGGACUGUUACUUUGAAAAAAUUAGAGUGUUUAAAGCAGGCUAACGUCUGAAUACAUUAGCAUGGAAUAAUGAAAUAGGACGGACUGAUUCUAUUGCGUUGGUUUCUAGGAUCACCGUAAUGAUUAAUAGGGAUAGUUGGGGGCAUUAGUAUUCAAUUGUAAGAGGUGAAAUUCUUGGAUUUAUUGAAGACUAACUACUGCGAAAGCAUUUGCCAAGGAUGGUUUCAUUAAUCAAGAACGAAAGUUAGAGGUUCGAAGGCGAUCAGAUACCGCCCUAGUUCUAACCAUAAACGAUGCCAACCGGCGAUCCGUCGUCGUUAAUUGAAUGACUCGACGGGCAGCCUCCG
rnacentral:misc_RNA from 1 species